UUUUUUAAUUAUAACUUGUGUUCCAUCAAUCUUUUUAAUGGUUUGCCAAGGAACUUCUAAGGAUGAUGCUACCUCUGUUCUCUGUUAUUUUUAUCUCCAGCAACAAACGAGUAUGUCCAAGUUGGCAUGUAAAAGUUUAAAAGAACGAUUAAAAUUUCGUGUCACCAUUUAAAUAUGUCAUAUUCCUACUUUCUUAGAUCUCAGGUGAUUAGCAGUCUUGAAUAAGGAGCAGACUGGUGUAGGAUGCUUGUUGAUGUUCUGAUCCCACUAUUUAAGAGCACAGUAAAAUCUGUCUUCUGCAUCUCACGUUGCCAGACUCGGUUCUUUUAUUUUUCUCUGAAUGUGCUGACACCAAAAUUCAAGA
rnacentral:sRNA from 1 species